GGGUCGGUAGCUCAGUCGGUAGAGCACUGGACUUUUAAUCCAUUGGUCGUGGGUUCGAAUCCCACCCGACCCACCA
rnacentral:tRNA from 1 species